rnacentral:misc_RNA from 1 species
AGCAGCCGCGGUAAUUCCAGCUCCAAUAGCGUAUAUUAAAGUUGUUGCAGUUAAAAGCUCGUAGUUGAAUUUCGGGAUCAAUAUGUCGGUCGUGCCUUGGUACGUACUGGUAUCAUUGGUCUCUCCUUUCUGACGAACCAUGAUGUCAUUAAUUUGGUGUUAUGGGAAGUUAGGACUGUUACUUUGAAAAAUUAGAGUGUUUAAAGCAGGCUUUAGCUUGAAUACAUUAGCAUGGAAUAAUGAAAUAGGACGUUCGAACCUAUUUUGUUGGUUUCUAGGAUCAACGUAAUGAUUAAUAGGGAUAGUUGGGGGCAUUAGUAUUCAAUUGUCAGAGGUGAAAUUCUUGGAUUUAUUGAAGACUAACUACUGCGAAAGCAUUUGCCAAGGAUGUUUUCAUUAAUCAAGAACGAAAGUUAGGGGAUCGAAGACGAUCAGAUACCGUCGUAGUCUUAACCAUAAACUAUGCCGACUAGGGAUCGGAUGAUGUUAAUUUU